GGUGAGUAAUAUAUCGGAACGUGCCCUAGAGUGGGGGAUAACUAGUCGAAAGACUAGCUAAUACCGCAUACGAUCUACGGAUGAAAGUGGGGGAUCGCAAGACCUCAUGCUCCUGGAGCGGCCGAUAUCUGAUUAGCUAGUUGGUGGGGUAAAAGCCUACCAAGGCAACGAUCAGUAGCUGGUCUGAGAGGACGACCAGCCACACUGGGACUGAGACACGGCCCAGACUCCUACGGGAGGCAGCAGUGGGGAAUUUUGGACAAUGGGGGCAACCCUGAUCCAGCAAUGCCGCGUGAGUGAAGAAGGCCUUCGGGUUGUAAAGCUCUUUUGUCAGGGAAGAAACGGUAGUAGCGAAUAACUAUUACUAAUGACGGUACCUGAAGAAUAAGCACCGGCUAACUACGUGCCAGCAGCCGCGGUAAUACGUAGGGUGCAAGCGUUAAUCGGAAUUACUGGGCGUAAAGCGUGCGCAGGCGGUUGUGUAAGUCAGAUGUGAAAUCCCCGGGCUCAACCUGGGAAUUGCAUUUGAGACUGCACGGCUAGAGUGUGUCAGAGGGGGGUAGAAUUCCACGUGUAGCAGUGAAAUGCGUAGAUAUGUGGAGGAAUACCGAUGGCGAAGGCAGCCCCCUGGGAUAACACUGACGCUCAUGCACGAAAGCG
rnacentral:rRNA from 1 species